rnacentral:rRNA from 1 species
UACAGAGGGUGCGAGCGUUAAUCGGAAUUACUGGGCGUAAAGCGUGCGUAGACGGUUAUUUAAGUCGGGUGUGAAAGCCCCGGGCUCAACCUGGGAAUUGCAUUCGAGACUGAAUAGCUAGGGUACGGUAGAGGGAAGUGGAAUUUCCGGUGUAGCGGUGAAAUGCGUAGAUAUCUGAAGGAACAUCAGUGGCGAAAGCGACUUCCUGGACCAAUACUGACGCUCAUGUGCGAAAGCGUGGGGAGCAAACAGGAU